rnacentral:rRNA from 1 species
AUGAACGUUGGCGGUGUGCCUAAUACAUGCAAGUCGAACGGUGGUUAUUUUGUAGUAAUACGAAGUGAUCAUAGUGGCGAACGGGUGAGUAACGCGUUGGUGAUCUGCCUCGAAGUGUGGAAUAACGUUCCGAAAGGAACGCUAAUACCGCAUGUGCUCUCGAUUUUUAGAAACUUGAGAGUAAAGGAUUUAUUCGCUUCGAGAGGAGCCUGCGUCCCAUCAGCUAGUUGGUAAGGUAAUGGCCUACCAAGGCAAUGACGGGUAGGGGACCUGAGAGGGUGGCCCCCCACAAUGGAACUGAAACACGGUCCAUACACCUACGGGUGGCAGCAGUAGGGAAUAUUAGAAAUGGACGAAAGUCUGAUCUAGCGACACCGCGUGUGCGAUGAAGGCCUUCGGGUUGUAAAGCACUUUUUGGAAGGAAUAGGAAGGAAGGUACUUCCAGAAUAAGUCUCGGCUAACUACGU